GAAAGAAGCUCUUAUGGUAUCCUCCUGGCCCCAGAUAUCACUUCCACAAAAUGCUAACUCAAUUAAAAAGUCUGAAAAUUUCCAAGCACUGAGCAAUCCGGAAUGCUAGAGCAGAAUACUGUGUUGAGCCAGCUAAACGUAUAUCUGCAUCUAUAGUUGCAAGUGAAGAUGUCAUCCAGUAUAUAUCUAAAGAGAAAGAAGUUUUAGCUCUUCUAUCCCGGCUUGAUCUACAAAAUGUUCAUUUCACAGAUGCUCCUCUGGGGGAUGCCAACCAAUCAGUUCAUCUUGUUGCAAGUGAGGGACUAGAGGCAUCUCUUCCCCUUGCUGAUAUGGUUGAUAUAUCCGCUGAAGUUGACCGGCUUUCAAAGCGCCUUUCCAAGAUGCAAACAGAGUAUGAAGGGCUUGUAGCUCGCUUCAAUUCUCCAAAGGUAUACUUCUUUUACUCCUACCAGGACUGUGGGCUGGUUCCUGGUUGGAACCAGAGUUCCAGUCUGUGAAGGGGAGGGCCCUGAAGUGGAACGCAGGGGGCAGGUUAGGUUCCGGUUCCAGUUUGAGGAAGGUUUCAUUCCAAAUCUGGUUCAGAUCCAUGAGACUGUUCCAGUCCUGGGUUUGAUCAGGCCAGUUCUGUUCCCGUUCCAGGUCCAACCCGGACCGUGGCUCGAUGUAAAGGGUAUCAUACAGAAAAAUAAGGAACAAAAUAUUAAGUUGCUAUACCUGUAGAUGUCAAACUUUCUAAGGAGGCUUAACAUAUUGAAGAUCUGUUGCUGCCUUGCUGGUCCUUGAUGUGGAUUUGGCUAGUCUUUAUGUCAUUAUUUGAGUAAAUUUUGCACUAUUAAAGCCAACUAGCUCUAGUAGGAGAACAGUGGAUCUCUUUUAUAAUUUAUUCGAUUCAUGUUUCUCAUAAUAUUUACAUUAUUGAGCAUUUGCUUAACAAAACACUGGAGAUGGUGAAGAUCUUGAAGCUGCAUCUCUUUCUCGAAGGAAGGGGUUGCUGAGCAUUAUUUUAUAGAUUUUUCAUGGCCCAGCAUUAUAUUUCGCAUCUUCAUUCUUGAUGUCAUGCAUGAGCUUGUGGGUUCCCACCCUAUCGCACAUCUUAUGGCUGUCGAUGCAUGCACUUUUACAUGUGUUUAUGAUCUGUCUCUUUCUGUAGUUUGUAGAGAAAGCUCCUGAGGAAGUCGUUCGUGGGGUUGGAGAAAAAGUGGCAGAAGCAAAAGAUAAAAUAAACCUCACAAAGAACCGAUUGGCUUUCCUCAAAUCUUCAGUUUUGGUAUCUCAAUAGCAUUUAACAGUGCUUGGUUGCACUUCGUUUUGAAAAAUAUUGAAAAAAUUCUGUUGAGUCUCUAGUUGUGGAAUCCAUAUUCCAUUCAAUUAGAAACUGUCCAAGCUUCACAUUGAAUUAUCAGUGCUGGGUUGUAUUGUGAUGGACUAAUGGCGGUUAAUCAUUGUCUUGGUGGCUACUAUGACCAUUUGGACAAAAUGGAGGAGAGCAGGGCAUUCCUGUAUUAGGAGUUUUUGCACGAAUGCACUCUUUGCCUUGCUUAAUAAAAGAGUUGCAGCAUUAGAGAAAUUUCAUAUGGUAGUUAACCUCUGAUUCCUCUACAUCAUGUACAGUUGUUUAAUCAGCAACAUUUUUCUUGCUAUGUUGGUCUUCCUCUAUAGUUGCAACUUUGUGUACUAGUUUAUACAUAGAAGCAGUUAGAGGCAGCAGAAGAAAAUUGAGUUGAGUAUAGUAAGGAAAAAAGUUUAUCAUUGAAUUAUUUCAUACUUGUGGGCUUAUGCCUGUUUUGGAGAAAAUCCUCUCCUCCAUGGCCAUUCUUCUGUCUCAUAUCAUUAAAAUAAACUGAUUUAGCUUUUGCUUCUUCAAAGUUUAACUUUCUUAAAACUACUUCUUUCACUUAGUUUAUUCUUUCAGUUUUAUGGAUUGGUGGUACAAUGUAAAAGAUUUUACUAUAUAUAUAUAUAUACUUAGAAUUUU
rnacentral:misc_RNA from 1 species